AAGACUAUACUUUCAGGGAUCGUUUCUGUAGUUUUUAACUAGAAAAUACAAAUUAACAGUGUUAUGUCUCUCUAAUUGUGAUGAUGAGGUUUGAUGUGCUCUUCUGAACAUGAAUCAGGUUUUAGCUAAAGAUUCUUUCAUGAGCUUUAGCCAUUAAUGAAUGUUCUUGCUUCUUGGGAAGCAUGAGAGGAAGAGUAAAUGAUCAGAGUGAU